rnacentral:rRNA from 2 species
GCACGGGUGCGUAACGCGUGGGAACCUGCCUUUAGGUUCGGAAUAACUCAGAGAAAUUUGAGCUAAUACCGGAUAAUGUCUUCGGACCAAAGAUUUAUCGCCUUUAGAUGGGCCCGCGUUAGAUUAGAUAGUUGGUGGGGUAAUGGCCUACCAAGUCGACGAUCUAUAGCUGGUCUGAGAGGAUGAUCAGCCACACUGGGACUGAGACACGGCCCAGACUCCUACGGGAGGCAGCAGUGGGGAAUAUUGGACAAUGGGCGAAAGCCUGAUCCAGCAAUGCCGCGUGAGUGAUGAAGGCCUUAGGGUUGUAAAGCUCUUUUACCAGGGAUGAUAAUGACAGUACCUGGAGAAUAAGCUCCGGCUAACUCCGUGCCAGCAGCCGCGGUAAUACGGAGGGAGCUAGCGUUGUUCGGAAUUACUGGGCGUAAAGCGCGCGUAGGCGGCUUUUCAAGUCAGGGGUGAAAUCCCGGGGCUCAACCCCGGAACUGCCCUUGAAACUGGAUGGCUAGAAUACUGGAGAGGUGAGUGGAAUUCCGAGUGUAGAGGUGAAAUUCGUAGAUAUUCGGAAGAACACCAGUGGCGAAGGCGACUCACUGGACAGUUAUUGACGCUGAGGUG